CUACGGGGGGCUCCAGUGGGGAAUAUUGCACAAUGGGCGCAAGCCUGAUGCAGCCAUGCCGCGUGUAUGAAGAAGGCCUUCGGGUUGUAAAGUACUUUCAGCGGGGAGGAAGGGAGUAAAGUUAAUACCUUUGCUCAUUGACGUUACCCGCAGAAGAAGCACCGGCGUAACUCCGUGCCAGCAGCCGCGGUAAUACGGAGGGUGCAAGCGUUAAUCGGAAUUACUGGGCGUAAAGCGCACGCAGGCGGUUUGUUAAGUCAGAUGUGAAAUCCCCGGGCUCAACCUGGGAACUGCAUCUGAUACUGGCAAGCUCGAGUCUCGUAGAGGGGGGUAGAAUUCCAGGUGUAGCGGUGAAAUGCGUAGAGAUCUGGAGGAAUACCGGUGGCGAAGGCGGCCCCCUGGACGAAGACUGACGCUCAGGUGCGAAAGCGUGGGGAGCAAACAGGAUUAGAUACCCGUGUAGUC
rnacentral:rRNA from 1 species